rnacentral:tRNA from 2 species
GGAGAGAUGGCAGAGUGGUCGAUUGCACCUGACUUGAAAUCAGGCGGUGCCGCAAGGCAUCCGGGGGUUCGAAUCCCUCUCUCUCCG